AAAGCGCCCUUCGGGGUGCAAGUAGAGUGGCGCACGGGUGAGUAACACGUAGGUAAUCUACCUUUGGAUGGGGAAUAACAACCGGAAACGGUUGCUAAUACCGCAUAAUGCAGCGGCACCUAAUGGUGACAGUUGUUAAAGCGGGGGAUCGAAAGACCUCGCGUCUGAAGAGGAGCCUGCGGCAGAUUAGCUAGUUGGUAAGGUAACGGCUUACCAAGGCGAUGAUCUGUAGCCGGCCUGAGAGGGCGGUCGGCCACACUGACACUGACAUACGGGUCAGACUCCUACGGGAGGCAGCAGUCGGGAAUUUUGGGCAAUGGGCGAAAGCCUGACCCAGCAACGCCGCGUGAAGGAUGAAAUCCCUCGGGAUGUAAACUUCGCAAGAACAGGAAGAAUAAGUUUGUGCCAACACCACAAGCGAUGACGGUACUGUUUGUAAGCUCCGGCUAACUCCGUGCCAGCAGCCGCGGUAAUACGGGGGGAGCAAGCGUUGUUCGGAUUUACUGGGCGUAAAGGGCGCGUAGGCGGCCACCGCAAGUCAGUUGUGAAAUCUCUGGGCUUAACCCAGAAAGGUCAACUGAUACUGCGGGGCUAGAGUGCAGAAGGGGCAACUGGAAUUCUCGGUGUAGCGGUGAAAUGCGUAGAUAUCGAGAGGAACACCUGCGGCGAAGGCGGGUUGCUGGGCUGACACUGACGCUGAUGUGCGAAAGCUAGGGGAGCGAACGGGAUUAGAUACCCCGGUAGUCCUAGCCUUAAACGAUGAAUGCUUGGUGUCUGGGGUUUUAUAGUCCCCGGGUGCCGUCGCUAACGCUUUAAGCAUUCCGCCUGGGGAGUACGGUCGCAAGACUG
rnacentral:rRNA from 1 species